AUGAGAAGGCUUUUGUGUGUGGCCCUGCAUUUUGCUGUCUUCAGGUGUGGGGGCCCAGACAGGGGUGAUGCAAAGCUCAGCCCUGGGCGCUGGGUUGCUGGGAGGCACGGGCAGGGAGGGGCCCAUUGGGUGGGGAGGGGCACACUCCCAUUCCCCCGAGGCUGUGCCAUUUGCUUGGCUCCUAACCCAAGGCACUCUUCGCUAACUCCUCCAGGCUCAGCAGGGGGACUGUUCUCACAAGCUACGAACCAAACCGGAAUCUACUUCCCUUCACUGAGACAUCUGGGGAGUGUUGCUUCUGAAACUAUUUUUGGUGUGAACAUGUCGCUCAAGCUGCCGCAGCUAUGUGGGAAUUUUGAAGUGUCAAAGGCGUAUGACUGCAGCUGGGCGGAGGCGAGUGGGCAGGGUUAUUACAAAGCCCAGCCAGCUCCUUUUCAGCUCCCUGCUCACCUCGGCUCUGAACGCCUUAGAAGGGCUGCACCCAGGUUAGGAUGCAAACGGUGGCACAGGUGUGGCUGGGAGGAGCUGGUGGUCUGGCAGAGGGGGCCUUACGGGCCUGGGGACCCUUGGCAUCCUGGGAGAUCCUUGGAGGUGAUUCGUGGAGGGUUCCUUGGAGAAUGCCGGGGCUGUGUUUGCAGAUGGUUUCUCCAGCCCUCGCCACAGCGCACUGCCCACGGCAGGUCCUUCUACCUGGCACGGGGCGCUCACAGCCCACGCCACGGGCUUUCUAGUUGUGCAGGAAGAACAACACUCAGACUCGGAUGCGAAUGUGAGUGGGGUCCCCAGGGCUAGGAGGGAGCCUUCUGCUUUACCACAUCUUCAUGGGAGAAGCUAA
rnacentral:lncRNA from 1 species